rnacentral:snRNA from 1 species
AGACAACUGUGGAAGAACUGGAGUGGCCGGAUGUGCUGACCCCUGCGAUUUCCCCAAAUGCGGGAAACUCGACUGCAUAAUUUGUGGUAGUGGGGGACUGCGUUCGAGCUCUUCCUUG